GAUGAACGCUGGCGGCGUGCCUAAUACAUGCAAGUCGAGCGAACAGAUGAGGAGCUUGCUCCUCUGACGUUAGCGGCGGACGGGUGAGUAACACGUGGAUAACCUACCUAUAAGACUGGGAUAACUUCGGGAAACCGGAGCUAAUACCGGAUAAUAUAUUGAACCGCAUGGUUCAAUAGUGAAAGACGGUUUUGCUGUCACUUAUAGAUGGAUCCGCGCCGCAUUAGCUAUUUGGUAAGGUAACGGCUUACCAAGGCAACGAUGCGUAGCCGACCUGAGAGGGUGAUCGGCCACACUGGAACUGAGACACGGUCCAGACUCCUACGGGAGGCAGCAGUAGGGAAUCUUCCGAAAUGGGCGAAAGCCUGACGGAGAAACGCCGCGUGAGUGAUGAAGGUCUUCGGAUCGUAAAACUCUGUUAUUAGGGAAGACCAAAUGUGUAAGUAACUAUGCACGUCUUGACGGUACCUAAUCAGAAAGCCACGGCUAACUACGUG
rnacentral:rRNA from 1 species